AGAGUUUGAUCAUGGCUCAGAUUGAACGCUGGCGGCAUGCUUUACACAUGCAAGUCGAACGGUAACGCGGGGGCAACCCUGGCGACGAGUGGCGAACGGGUGAGUAAUACAUCGGAACAUGUCCUGGAGUGGGGGAUAGCUCGGCGAAAGCCGGAUUAAUACCGCAUACGCUCUGAGGAGGAAAGCGGGGGACUCGUAAGGGCCUCGCGCUGCAGGAGUGGCCGAUGUCGGAUUAGCUAGUUGGUGAGGUAAAGGCUCACCAAGGCGACGAUCCGUAGCUGGUCUGAGAGGAUGAUCAGCCACACUGGGACUGAGACACGGCCCAGACUCCUACGGGAGGCAGCAGUGGGGAAUUUUGGACAAUGGGGGCAACCCUGAUCCAGCCAUGCCGCGUGAGUGAAGAAGGCCUUCGGGUUGUAAAGCUCUUUCGGACGGAACGAAAUGGUUACAGUGAAUAACUGUGAUUGAUGACGGUACCGUAAGAAGAAGCACCGGCUAACUACGUGCCAGCAGCCGCGGUAAUACGUAGGGUGCGAGCGUUAAUCGGAAUUACUGGGCGUAAAGCGUGCGCAGGCGGUUCGCCAAGUCAGGUGUGAAAUCCCCGGGCUUAACCUGGGAAUUGCGCUUGAAACUAGCGGGCUUGAGUGUGGCAGAGGGGGGUGGAAUUCCACGUGUAGCAGUGAAAUGCGUAGAGAUGUGGAGGAACACCGAUGGCGAAGGCAGCCCCCUGGGUCAACACUGACGCUCAUGCACGAAAGCGUGGGGAGCAAACAGGAUUAGAUACCCUAGUAGUCC
rnacentral:rRNA from 1 species